UACGUAGGGCGCAAGCGUUGUCCGGAAUUAUUGGGCGUAAAGAGCUCGUAGGUGGUUUGUCGCGUCUGCCGUGAAAACCCGAGGCUUAACCUCGUGGCUUGCGGUGGAUACGGGCAGACUUGAGGUAGGUAGGGGAGAAUGGAAUUCCCGGUGUAGCGGUGAAAUGCGCAGAUAUCGGGAGGAACACCGGUGGCGAAGGCGGUUCUCUGGGCCAUUACUGACACUGAGAAGCGAAAGCAUGGGGAGCGAACAGG
rnacentral:rRNA from 1 species